CUUCUAGCCUGAAGAACAUAUACUAAAACUAGAAUGAUACAGAGAAGAUUGACACUGACCCUGUUCAAGGAUGACACACAAAUUCAUGAACUGUUCCAUAUGUUU